rnacentral:rRNA from 1 species
CGUGCCUAAUACAUGCAAGUAGAACGCUGAAGGAAGGAGCUUGCUCUUUCCGGAAGAGUUGCGAACGGGUGAGUAACGCGUAGGUAACCUACCUUUUAGCGGGGGAUAACUAUUGGAAACGAUAGCUAAUACCGCAUAAGACAUUUUACUGCAUGGUAAGAUGUUAAAAGAUGCAAAUGCAUCACUAAGAGAUGGACCUGCGUUGUAUUAGCUAGUAGGUGAGGUAACGGCUCACCUAGGCGACGAUACAUAGCCGACCUGAGAGGGUGAUCGGCCACACUGGGACU